AGAGAGAACGAACAAGAGGAAAGAAAGUUCAUUUAAGUGGAGAAAGAUAUAAGAAGAUGUACUGUCCAUUCUGUGGUUCCAGCGUGACAUCUUCGCAUGGCUUUUGUGGUGUCUGUGGCAGAGACAUCACAUUUCUAAAAGAUGUGGCUAACAAAGUCCCUGAGGAGAUGCCCACCACUAGUGCGCAUCUAAGUGCACAGCCUAGCACCAGUGCAGCAGGAAGCUCAGCUGUAGAGUCCUUUCAGAAAUAUAGGGAAAUAAAAAAGAGGGAGAGACCUUUUUUACAAAGGGACGGCAUAACUCCAAAAAUAAACAGAAAUUGAUUUCUGUUGGAGUAAUGAGGAGGAUGGAUGGCUGCCUUAAACCUUUGAGAGGGAGGUCACUUCCCCUUAAUGUCGAACCUCAAUGGGCAUGUGAAGAACUGUUGGCUGCUGCCAUAAAAAAGCAGAAAGCCUUUAACCAGGACUUGGAAGAUGGUGCCCAUGUCUUGUUGUACCCUGAUGCGAGGGUGAUAACAAAUAUCCCCGGAACGGACACCCCUUUCACAGUACAGAUGUACAAAGAGGCCAUUGGAAAGCCCUACCAACGAAUUACGUUGUACAUCUGUACUCUUGAAGCCGUUGAAAACAGUUGUUACACUGGAACAACCUCUUCAAGUGACGAGGACAGUGUGGUUUUUGCAAAGUUGCCAUCUGGAGACAGUCUUGCUGACACCGUGGUCAGUUUGGAUCUAUCGUGGCAUUUAUUCUUAAUUAAAGUGAAUUUAUUUUAUUUCAGUCAGUCAUUUGUGUGUUGUAUGCAGGUGUGGGACUUUCCAAAUGAACAGAGCACUCCCAGAAUGGACAACAGUUUGCCAGGGUCAAAUAAAACAUUGUCAACAUGUUAUUUUGUGCCACAAGAAGCAGAAUGUUUUAACAGUACAGUAGUUUGAAUAUAUUUUUUGUUUACCUUUAUCAGACCUCUCAGGCACCCACAACCAGCGUCUGAUCGGUAGGAUGGAGAACCAACCCCAUUCCAGGAAGAGGUCCAGUCUGCCCCGGGUCAGAACACCUUCUAUAGGUAAACGAUGUUGACAGUUGCAUCGUGACACAGUUGUUUGCAACUACACAACUGUGUAUGCACUUAUCAUUAUUGACAGCCAGUCUGAGCCAGAAGAGGAAACGGAGCAAACUGCAGAGGAAAUCACAGAAUACCUGACUGCGCCAGACAUUGUUGCAGAACUCUCUGCAAAAAUUAAAAAUACCUCUUGCAGCAGGUUCAAUAUUAAUAGAGCCAAUGUGUGGGAUGGAGCAAUCCGCGGCUUCAAAGGGGCCUCAUUCGACCCCUCUCAUCAGAUGCAGGUUAAGUUUACUGACGAUGAGGGACAAACUGAGGAUGGAGUGGACACUGGUGGUCCCAAGCGUGAGUUCCUGACCCUCCUAAUGGAAUGCCUGAGAAUGAGAAGAAUAUUUGAUGGUCCACAGGACAGGAAAUUCCUCAAGUUCGACAAUGCAGCUGCAAAAGAUGACGAAUACUUUCAUGCUGGGAGGAUGAUUGCAACUUCUAUAGUUCAAAAACACAAGGAGAAAAAGAAGAAAACAUCAUGUCAUGGCUCACUGUCUCAAAAUCUGAUUCUAAAUGUAUAAUGUUCUUUAUAAAGAUAUAACUAAUACACAAUUAUGAAUGUAUAAUAUAAGCUGUUUUGUGUAUUUAAUCAUGCGUUGGUCUACAAUUUAAUGAUGGCUUCUACAUAUUUCACAUAAACAGACAAUGAAAAAAUGUGUCCUUCAUGCUGAUAACUAGUGUAUGCAUCUGCCAAUUAGCAUUCUAAACAGAGCAGUGUGUUGAAUCCUUAUUUCUUGCAUUUGAAACAGAUACAAUACAAAAAGUGAACUUACUGUUGUGUUCAACU